rnacentral:lncRNA from 1 species
GAUUUAGCUCAGUGGUGCCACUGCCUGCCUUGCAAACACAAGGUCCUGAGUUUGAUCCCUGGUACCAAAAAAAAAAAAAAAAAUUUUACUAUCUCAGCGGUCAUACCAGCUAUUCUAAAUAUUUAAUUCUUCAUUUCAACUUGAGUGAUGUGCUAUAAUUUGGGAAAGACAAUUAUUUUUGUUGUACAUAUUCUUGGAACUUUUGCUUACAUUGCUUCCCUCUUCUUGUUAGUAUGAAAUUACGAGGAAAGGCUUCUAGAUGUGUUUGCUUUUUGGAAGGAAGGGGAGGGGAAGCAAGGCCAAAAUCAGUCACUCUCCCAUCAGUAAUUUUUAAAAAUGAUUGUAGGGGUUGGAGCCGGCAGGCGGUUCCGGUUCUCCCGACUAAAGCAGGGCCUGGAAACUCUGCCCCAGGCAACAGGGCUGGGAAAAUCCCUGCUGCGCUCGUCCUCCGUGGUGUGCGAGAGCCCAGGCCGGCUUCAUUUCCCUCUCCCUUCCUUGGGCCAGUGGUACCAGCUUUAUCACCUGCCCACAAUAGCAACUCAACUUUGCGGCGGGGCAGCCGGAAGGGCCGAGAGCGAGGCGGUCUGGAGCACCCCGGGCGAGGGUCGGAGGAGUCGC